UACGAAGGGGCUAGCGUUGCUCGGAAUCACUGGGCGUAAAGCGCACGUAGGCGGACUCUUAAGUCGGUGGUGAAAUCCUGGAGCUCAACUCCAGAACUGCCUUCGAUACUGAGAGUCUUGAGUCCGGGAGAGGUGAGUGGAACUGCGAGUGUAGAGGUGAAAUUCGUAGAUAUUCGCAAGAACACCAGUGGCGAAGGCGGCUCACUGGCCCGGUACUGACGCUGAGGUGCGAAA
rnacentral:rRNA from 1 species